GCAGUCGCCGCGGUAAUACAGAGGGUGCGAGCGUUAAUCGGAUUUACUGGGCGUAAAGCGUGCGUAGGCGGCUUCUUAAGUCGGAUGUGAAAUCCCUGAGCUUAACUUAGGAAUUGCAUUCGAUACUGGGAAGCUAGAGUAUGGGAGAGGAUGGUAGAAUUCCAGGUGUAGCGGUGAAAUGCGUAGAGAUCUGGAGGAAUACCGAUGGCGAAGGCAGCCAUCUGGCCUAAUACUGACGCUGAGGUACGAAAGCAUGGGGAGCAAACAGGAUUAGAUACCCCGGUAGUCCCUGACUCUUAUAC
rnacentral:rRNA from 1 species